rnacentral:rRNA from 1 species
UACGUAGGGGGCAAGCGUUGUCCGGAUUUACUGGGCGUAAAGAGCGUGUAGGCGGCCACGCAGGUCCGUUGUGAAAACUGGAGGCUCAACCUCCAGCUGUCGACGGAAACCGUGUGGCUAGAGUCCGGAAGAGGAGAGUGGAAUUCCUGGUGUAGCGGUGAAAUGCGCAGAUAUCAGGAAGAACACCAAUGGCGAAGGCAGCUCUCUGGGACGGUACUGACGCUGAGACGCGAAAGCGUAGGGAGCGAACAGG